ACUCAAGUGUCCAUUAAUAGGAGAUUAGUUAUUUGGGUACGGUUGACCCUUGCACAACACAAGUUUGUAUGGCACAGCUCCACUGAUAGGUGGAUUUUCUUCUGUCUGUGCUGCCCCUGAGAUAGCAAAACCAACCCCUCCUCUUCUUCCUCCUCAGCCUACUCAACAUGAAGACAGUGAGGAUGAAGACCUUUAUGAUGAUCCAUUUCCACUUAAUGAAUAGCAUCAACCAUGAGCUUGUUGAAGAGGCAUUUGGGGGUAGCGAGGAGCAGAGAGAGAACUUUCCAACCACACUACCUGCGUUUUUGAAAGGCUGACAUGGCUCUUGGUUCUCAAAUCAGCCUCAAAAUAGCCUGAAAAGCCUGGAGUCCACUCACAGAAGAGCAGACCUCCUCCGGUAUGCACCAUGCUGACAGCACCACCUUACACACUCAGGUGUGCAAAAACCGGCGCGGGGGACAUCUCACACCUUAUGUAGAUCAAAUGCUCCUUCCCUGAUCCUCUGUAGGGAACUUCCUUU
rnacentral:lncRNA from 1 species